AUUGAACGCUGGCGGCAGGCCUAACACAUGCAAGUCGAACGGUAACAGGAAGAAGCUUGCUUCUUUGCUGACGAGUGGCGGACGGGUGAGUAAUGUCUGGGAAACUGCCUGAUGGAGGGGGAUAACUACUGGAAACGGUAGCUAAUACCGCAUAACGUCGCAAGACCAAAGAGGGGGACCUUCGGGCCUCUUGCCAUCGGAUGUGCCCAGAUGGGAUUAGCUAGUAGGUGGGGUAACGGCUCACCUAGGCGACGAUCCCUAGCUGGUCUGAGAGGAUGACCCGGCAACACGGAAACUAGGCCACGUCCCAACCCCCUAGGGGGGGCAGCGUUGGGAAUAUUUGAACAUGGGGCGAAAGCCUGUGGCGGCCAGGCGGGGGGAAGGAAGAGGGCCUUGGGGUGGUAAGGUACUUUCGGCGGGGGGAAAGGAAGUAAGUUAAUACCUUUGCUCAUUGACGUUACCCGCAGAAGAAGCACCGGCUAACUCCGUG
rnacentral:rRNA from 1 species